AUGCCGGGUUAUUAUCCUAUAUGUGUUUAUGAUUGAUAAAACAUUCAGACAUAAUGGAAUCAUUUAUAAAACAUAUAGUUUUUGUCAAAAGUAACUUUUUAUUGCAUAUUAUUGCUUUUAAGUUUAAUUUAUUUUUUAAUUCUCACAAAUUAUUUUGGUGAUAAUUGGUGGACCCCCUGCAGUACCUCUGCAGACCCCCAAAGGGGUCACAGACCCCCGGUUGAAGACCCCUGCUCUUAUUUAAUUGUCAUAUAAGAUGUGAUAAAUUAAGAUAAACUCAUUGAUCCCACACUUUCAUUUACUUGUCACAGCAGCUUAAAGGUCCAGUGUGUAAGAUUUACUGAAUACGAUAUUCAUAAGUCAGCAGACAAACCAAACACUGGCUCCAGAUAUGACCUUUUGCUUCAUGUGAGUUUCAGCUGCAUGCGUACAUGGAAGGAGGCGAGGCGUCAUCUGGCUGCAAUCUGCAACUUCACUGCAAGACUGAGGUGUCGACUGUUCAUCGCUCAGCCACACUGUAACUGUAAACUUCACGCCGCCCUCAAUAUCUCAUUUAGGCCCGACCGACGCCUCCGUCAUGACGCAUGAAAUGUGGCGUUCUCUCUUCACACACUCCACUGACAGAACAGACAGGACCAGCCAACUGUCAUGUGUUGUUUUAUUAUAAAAACAAACAGCGAAACCAACAGAGAAAUUCAGACAAUAAAACACAACAAGGGGAAAGACAAUAAAACACUUGUAACAUAAUUCUAACGAGCUUUCUUCUUUGCACGGAUCAUCUAUUUCCAGGACUCUUCGUGUUGACCUGGAAGACAGAGUUCUGGAAAUAUCCAUUAUCAUACGUGUGUGUGUGUGUUUGCUGUUUUUUUGUUUUGUUUGUUUUUAAAAAAAGCUGAGAAAUUACAGCGUGAUUUUUAAAAUAUCAGGCUAAUUGUUUAAAUACGGGCUCAAUAAAAUACACAUCAUCUAUUAAAGAGAUUCUCCCGCCGACAGUUCCUGACCCUAGGCUGCUUUUUAAAUCGAUAUAAAACAAUAACAACAACAUAACUGCAAAACUGCCCCCCCCCAAAAAAAGCAUUUAUAUCAACAUCACAUUACCAUUAACCAUUAAAUAAGAUCUCCAGAGCA